UGCGUAGGCGGUUUGAUAAGUAAGAGGUGAAAGCCCACAGCUCAACUGUGGAAUUGCCUUUGAUACUGUUAGACUUGAAUCAGGUUGAGGUUGGCGGAAUGUGGCAUGUAGCGGUGAAAUGCAUAGAUAUGCCAUAGAACACCAAUUGCGAAGGCAGCUGACUAGACCUGUAUUGACGCUGAGGCACGAAAGCGUGGGGAGCGAACAGGAUUAGAUACCCUGGUAGUC
rnacentral:rRNA from 1 species